rnacentral:rRNA from 1 species
UACGGAAGGUCCGGGCGUUAUCCGGAUUUAUUGGGUUUAAAGGGAGCGUAGGCCGGAGAUUAAGCGUGUUGUGAAAUGUAGACGCUCAACGUCUGCACUGCAGCGCGAACUGGUUUCCUUGAGUACGCACAAAGUGGGCGGAAUUCGUGGUGUAGCGGUGAAAUGCUUAGAUAUCACGAAGAACUCCGAUUGCGAAGGCAGCUCACUGGAGCGCAACUGACGCUGAAGCUCGAAAGUGCGGGUAUCGAACAGGAUUAGAAACCCUGGUAGUUGACUGACU